rnacentral:rRNA from 1 species
UACGUAGGGGGCAAGCGUUGUCCGGAUUCAUUGGGCGUAAAGAGCGUGUAGGCGGCCAGGUAGGUCCGCUGUGAAAACUCGAGGCUCAACCUCGAGAUGUCGGCGGAAACCAUCUGGCUAGAGUCCGGAAGAGGAGAGUGGAAUUCCCGGUGUAGCGGUGAAAUGCGCAGAUAUCAGGAAGAACACCUAUGGCGAAGGCAGCUCUCUGGGACGGUACUGACGCUGAGACGCGAAAGCGUGGGGAGCGAACAGG